rnacentral:tRNA from 1 species
GCGCCUGUAGCUCAAUGGAUAGAGCAGUCCCGUCCUAAGGGAAAGACUGCGUGUUCGACUCACGCCAGGCGCACCA